rnacentral:rRNA from 1 species
AUUGAACGCUGGCGGCAUGCUUUACACAUGCCAGUCGAACGGUAACAGGGAGCUUGCUCCGCUGACGAGUGGCGAACGGGUGAGUAAUAUAUCGGAACGUACCCAAGAGUGGGGGAUAACGUAGCGAAAGUUACGCUAAUACCGCAUACGAUCUAAGGAUGAAAGCAGGGGACCUUCGGGCCUUGUGCUCCUGGAGCGGCCGAUAUCUGAUUAGCUAGUUGGUGAGGUAAAGGCUCACCAAGGCGACGAUCAGUAGCUGGUCUGAGAGGACGACCAGCCACACUGGAACUGAGACACGGUCCAGACUCCUACGGGAGGCAGCAGUGGGGAAUUUUGGACAAUGGGCGCAAGCCUGAUCCAGCAAUGCCGCGUGAGUGAAGAAGGCCUUCGGGUUGUAAAGCCCUUUUGUCAGGGAAGAAACGGGAUUGGCUAAUAUCCAGUCCUAAUGACGGUACCUGAAGAAUAAGCACCGGCUAACUACGUG